rnacentral:rRNA from 1 species
GACGAACGCUGGCGGCGUGCCUAAUACAUGCAAGUAGAACGCUGACGGAAGGAGCUUGCUCUUUCUGGAUGAGUUGCGAACGGGUGAGUAACGCGUAGGUCACCUGCCUGGUUGCGGGGGAUAACUAUUGGAAACGACAGCUAAUACCGCAUAAAAUUGAUUAUUGCAUGAUAGACAAUUAAAAGGUGCAUCUGCACCACUACCAGAUGGACCUGCGUUGUAUUAGCUAGCUGGUGGGGUAACGGCUCACCAAGGCGACGGUACAUAGCCGACCUGAGAGGGUGAUCGGCCACACUGGGACUGGAACACGGCCCAGACUCCUACGGGGUGCAGCAGUAGGGGAUCUUCGGCAAUGGACGGAAGUCUGACCGAACAACGCCGCGUGAGUGAAGGAGGUUUUCCGAUCGUAAAGCUCUGUUGUAAGAGAAGAACGAGUGUGAGAGUGGAAAGUUCACACUGUGACGGUAUCUUACCAGAAAGGGACGGCUAACUACGUG